GAGACAGCAGUAGCCACGGUAACACGAAGGGUGCAAGCGUUAAUCGGAAUUACUGGGCGUAAAGCGUGCGUAGGCGGUGAGUUAAGUCUGCUGUGAAAUCCCCGGGCUCAACCUGGGAAUGGCAGUGGAUACUGGCUCGCUAGAGUGUGUCAGAGGAUGGUGGAAUUCCCGGUGUAGCGGUGAAAUGCGUAGAGAUCGGGAGGAACAUCAGUGGCGAAGGCGGCCAUCUGGGACAACACUGACGCUGAGGCACGAAAGCGUGGGGAGCAAACAGGAUUAGAUACCCCCGUAGUCCUGUCUCUUAUACC
rnacentral:rRNA from 1 species